CCUUUUGUGCAGGCAGGAAGGUGUAAAGUAGCAUGAGCGGAACGGGUCGAUAACCGUUGGGAAGCUAGAAAUCUUAUUUGGUCUGUCAAGGACGUUGGAAAACCUGAGGAAAUACAGGUCAGGAGUGUCUCCAUCUCCAGAUCUGUACAAGUGGGAAGCAAAUCUGGCCGCAACAGAAGACGUAAUGAUCCUCAAAUGGUCUGCGCUCCCAGUAAUCAGCAGCAUGAAAGAAGUUCUCCCAAGUGAAAGGUUGGAUGUGAAACAGUGCAAGCAAUUUAGAGAUGCUGAAACUUGAUGCCCUGGACUCUAUUAUUAUCAAAACUGUACAUCUGUGUAUAUUUACUG